rnacentral:rRNA from 1 species
GGGGAAUAUUGGACAAUGGGGGAAACCCUGAUCCAGCAAUGCCGCGUGUGUGAUGAAGGCCUGCGGGUUGUAAAGCACUUUCGGUGGGGAAGAAAUACCCAGGGCUAAUAACUCUGGGGGUUGACACUACCCACAGAAGAAGCACCGGCUAACUCUGUGCCAGCAGCCGCGGUAAUACAGAGGGUGCAAGCGUUAAUCGGAAUUACUGGGCGUAAAGGGCGCGUAGGCGGAUAUUUAAGUCAAAUGUGAAAGCCCUGGGCUUAACCUAGGAAUUGCAUUCGAUACUGGGUAUCUGGAGUAUGGUAGAGGAAAGUGGAAUUCCCGGUGUAGCGGUGAAAUGCGUAGAUAUCGGGAAGAACAUCAAGGCGAAGGCAGCUUUCUGGACCAAUACUGACGCUGAGGCGCGAAAGCGUGGGGAGCAAAC